rnacentral:rRNA from 1 species
CCCUUAGAUGUUCUGGGCCGCACGCGCGCUACACUGAUGCAUUCAACGAGUUUCUUCCUGGUCCGAGAGGAAUGGGUAACCUUUUGAAAGUGCAUCGUGAUAGGGAUUGACUAUUGCAAUUAUUGGUCUUCAACGAGGAAUUCCUAGUAGACGUAGUUCAUCAGACUGCAUCGAUUACGUCCCUGCCCUUUGUACACACCGCCCGUCGCUCCUACCGAUUGAAUGCUCAGGUGAGCCAUUCGGACUUUCAUCAUGCUGGUUUCCAGUUUUGAUGAAGGAAAGUCUUGCGAACCUUAUCAUUUAGAGGAAGGAGAAGUCGUAACA